CGUAGGGUGCAAGCGUUAAUCGGAAUUACUGGGCGUAAAGCGUGCGCAGGCGGUUAUGCAAGACAGAGGUGAAAUCCCCGGGCUCAACCUGGGAACUGCCUUUGUGACUGCAUGGCUAGAGUACGGUAGAGGGGGAUGGAAUUCCGCGUGUAGCAGUGAAAUGCGUAGAUAUGCGGAGGAACACCGAUGGCGAAGGCAAUCCCCUGGACCUGUACUGACGCUCAUGCACGAAAGCGUGGGGAGCAAACAGGAUU
rnacentral:rRNA from 1 species